GAUGAACGCUGGCGGCGUGCCUAAUACAUGCAAGUCGAGCGAACAGAUAAGGAGCUUGCUCCUUUGACGUUAGCGGCGGACGGGUGAGUAACACGUGGGUAACCUACCUAUAAGACUGGAAUAACUCCGGGAAACCGGGGCUAAUGCCGGAUAACAUUUAGAACCGCAUGGUUCUAAAGUGAAAGAUGGUUUUGCUAUCACUUAUAGAUGGACCCGCGCCGUAUUAGCUAGUCGGUAAGGUAACGGCUUACCAAGGCAACGAUACGUAGCCGACCUGAGAGGGUGAUCGGCCACACUGGAACUGAGCCACGGUCCAGACUCCUACGGGAGGCAGCAGUAGGGAAUCUUCCGCAAUGGGCGAAAGCCUGACGGAGCAACGCCGCGUGAGUGAUGAAGGUCUUCGGAUCGUAAAACUCUGUUAUUAGGGAAGAACAAAUGUGUAAGUAACUGUGCACGUCUUGACGGUACCUAAUCAGAAAGCCACGGCUAACUACGUG
rnacentral:rRNA from 1 species